CGUAGGUCCGAGCGUUGUCCGGAAUUAUUGGGCGUAAAGAGCUCGUAGGCGGCGUGUCGCGUCUGCUGUGAAAGCCCAUGGCUUAACUGUGGGUGUGCAGUGGAUACGGGCAUGCUUGAGGUAGGUAGGGAGACUGGAAUUCCUGGUGUAGCGGUGAAAUGCGCAGAUAUCAGGAGGAACACCGGUGGCGAAGGCGGGUCUCUGGGCCUUACCUGACGCUGAGGAGCGAAAGCGUGGGUAGCGAACAGGAUU
rnacentral:rRNA from 1 species